AUUACAAUUGCAAUUAAUGUCAAAAGGAAUGAUGCAUGUACGAAAGAUCGUCAAAAGCUACUCAAAAUAUCAUCCUACCAAAGCUUGUCAAGAUGACAAUGUUUGAGAAUGAUCUUCCAUGAGGUUUUCAAAGGAGCUUAUGCACAAUGCAUAAACGUUUUAAUCAUUUUCAAAAAUGAGUACACUCACGCUCCACUAAAUAAUCUUAAAGAUAGUCAUUGAACAAGCAACGAUGUGUGUAAAACAUCAAAGAGAAAUUGUGGGAAGUUUUGCAACAACAAAAGAAUUCAAAGUUGAUUGACCAAAGAAGAUAUUAUCUUCUCAUAUAGAAAAGAAAUAUUAUCAACUCUUAUGAAACAAUGUUCUCAUCAUGAACAUGUUUAUUUCCCUCAAGAGCAUUCAUAUCAGUUCAGCACAAUGGCAAGAAUCAACUUUGAAGAAGAAAUUAUUUCAAAGGUUGAAUUAUUUAUAAGUCAAUAGAACGUUCUCAGAACGGUCUCCCAAGUUUGCGUGUUCAAGGAUAAUCACUUUUUCAUAGUUCAACUUGGUACAAGACAAGAAUGAACUUUUAUAUGAAAGUUAUUUCAAGGAUCAUAACAGUGGAAUAAAUCAUUUAAGGCAACGAAUGAAUUAUGACUAGAGAACAUUCUCUUGUUGUCAUAUUCAAGGAGUUACAUGAACAUAUCUCUUGCCAAGGUUUAUGAUUCUCUCAUGGACAACUGAUGUUAUUAUUUAGACCAAUGAAAAUGCAGCAACAAAGGCAACAGCUUGCAAGGAAGCUUCACACCUGAUCCAAGUACAAGUUUAUGACAUGGGUGGCUACAUUCUCCCAUAAAAGAGUACUCAUUUCACUAUUCAUGUGUCCUUUGAAGUACAAGUGAACAGUUGAUACUCUAUGCCUUUGAUGAAGUAUUUACAGUUGUAUUACAACUUGCAACAGCUCUAAUUUCGUUGGACCUUAUCCACACCAUUUCAGAUAAUGUUCUCCAACGUCCUGAAGAAUGAUCUCCCAGGUUUUUGCACUUAGGUGUCAAUCUUAUCCAAAGUGUUGUCGAUAUUACUGCAAGUGCACAGGUAUAUCGCGUAGUUAUAAAAGAUUAUCGAUCCCACAGGGACUAUUUGUUAAUAUUUCGC
rnacentral:lncRNA from 1 species